GAUGAAGUUCAGAAUAUUUACUCUGACUGUAUCGUGACUCAGAGGCAGAGGUGGGAUACCAAAAGAGCAAAACAGCAGUGUUUGUAUGCAUGCCUACCUGCUGGCAGAUUCCCCUCCAGAUAAACUAUUUUUACCGUGUUAGUUGAGUAAAUACCAGAAUUGUAGAUGCUGUUUUGCUGUCGUUUUUGUGUGUGCAUGCAAACAGUUAAAUGUGUAUGCAUUGAUAUGAGUCAUAGAGAAACUAGUAAAAUCUUUAUCAGCCCCUGUAUAUUUUGGCUUUAGUCCUUACCGUCACAGAAAAUGUCCCAAAGCCAAACACCUCGGUUUACAGAGCUUAUCACUCGACCUUGUGUUCUUGUUUAUUGACAGUCAGAGGAGGAGGAUUAGUUUUUACCGAAAGUAGAAAAAUGGAAACUGGCGCCAUGAGAGAAGCAUAAUAUCCCCAUCGUUUAAUGAGACUUAACCAGAACUAUUAUAGACUAUGUGGUAACUUUAAUUUAGCUGGAAAACAAACAAAAAACUCUCGCCCAACUAAUGAGGAUACAUCCUGCUCUUGAUUAAUGUUUGCAUGUGUGCAUGUCAAACAUCCAGCACAAGUGACGGUAUCAUUGGAUUAGAGAUAUGGUACAUUAAAGAGACACAUCACUACAUGUUGCUCUAUGCCGCUGUGUGCAGCUCAAAAUGAACCUGUAAAAAUGAAGUCUUGAAUAGUUGGUUUCAAUAACUAACACAUUUUUUGUAAAACUUACACAAUUGUGCCGAGUCAGUACAGUAUGUAGUUGAGUCGUGCAAAUGACACAACUGAGAUAAAGCUCCAUCUAUGGGAGUUAACUGUUAAAAACUGUGAAUGCUCCAUCCCUCGGACAGAGAGAGCUCUCAGGUCGUGUCCGUCAAUCGGGUCGUACAGUGCGAGCACUUAAUUGUGACCUCUAGUCGUGGUUACAGUUUUUCACAGUACUAAAACCUCAACAGCGUUGACCCUUAAACAUUAUUCAUAAAGUGAGAUAGAUAAUGUGAUACAAUAUUCAAACAGUUCUUUAAACACAAAUAUGGCAGAAUAUAAGACCCCAGAUUAAGAAAAUGGAGAUGGUUAAAUAACCGUAUGUUAACAAAGCUGACUGGAUAAUUGUUGGAUAAUUGUUAAGCAGUGCUUGAAUUCAAUUCAAGUUUUUUGUUUUCACUUUUUCUCUUCCACACUUUCAUCGUGAUGCAGAUACUUUUCUUUAGUUUGGUUAGUUUAGUUCAUUUUCUGGUGCUCAAGUCAUUUAAAAAAAAAAAGUAUAUUUAAAUAAUUCAACAGUGGCAAGUCUUUCUAAGAGCAGAGAAAUGGUUGCUGUCGAUAAUCUGCAGACCUCCUUGUUGACAGUUUUUCUUUGGAACCACAUAGAUCCAGUGAAAACAAACCAUGUCUGCAGUUUGUCCAGAGUGAAAGGGACAAUGUGUCCGUUCAGCCACAAUGCUGCUGUCGCUUUAAAAAAAAAAAAAAAAUGAAGUUGUGAGCACCACAGGCAGGAUUUCUUUAGGAUUAUUUGUUUUGGGUUAGAAGCAGAAAAAAUAUGAGCACUUAAAUGGGUUUCCUCUCAAACUGUCAAAACAGCAGCUCUGUUUCCUCCUCGGUGAGUGUCUGUGUGACCGCCAAGGCUCCUUCACCUCGAGCCUUAUCUGAGACAGAUCCUGUUCCCUCGGCCUUGUUUCCAUCUGAGGUCAAGCUGUAAUAACAAACCCACAUUUUUUUGUAUCUGUUCUAUGUGAGGGUGCAGCAGCUACGUCUCUUUUUCCAUCUGAGGCUAAUUGUGCACGGGGUUUUUACAACUUGACUAAUAACACGCCUCAUUUCCUCACUCAGUCCAGGUUUCCUCUUUAUCUCUGCAGACACGCAACUCUGUUUGUCCUCUUCCUUUCUUUCACUUGAUAAUAACUUUGUCAUCCAGGUGAAACUCCAGUCAAUGCAUAAGCUAGAUGACUGUGAGAUUUCAAAGGAUCACAUCUUAAAUUCAAAGGAGACACAACACAGGAAUGUCGAUGUUGUGUGUUCAUGUCAGCAAAUCUUUAUGAAAAAAACUUAUUUUAAAUAACACCUUUUUAAAUCCAGGUAGCAACGUGCUUUAGAACAACUACAAGACAAAAACAACAUAGGUGGAUACAAAUAAUUAAAAGAAAAAUAGGAAUAGUAGUGAUGAUACAUAUUAACAGAAAACCGCACAUUUCAAACAUGGAAAUUAAACAACAUGCAAUAAAACACUAAGAUUUUCAAUCAUGAGCCUUGACAUUGUAGCAACAAAAUGCUUAUCACAAAAAGUGCACACAAAAAAUGGAAAUGAUCAAUCAUGUGACAAAGCAGCUCCGUGUGUGAGCUUAGAGCAAAGGUUUGCACAACUAGAGUAUAUUGUUUGUGAAAGCCUAAACUUAAAAAAAAAAAAAUCAGGAAAAAGAAAAGACACAUAAUCACACUUGACAAAUUGAAGAAUAUUUUGCAUCCUUAUAGUGUCUCAGAAAGAUUCAGCUCUAAGUGAAACUGUCCCUUAAAAAGUAGGAUGCAGCUUGUUCCUCAAACCUCUACUGAAGGUGCACCUCUUCUUUAUUUAAUUCCUCUGUGGUGGUUUUUUUUGCUGGCUUCAUUUGUCACGUUGUUUUUUUUAGCUUUUUGUGUAAAAGAUAAGAAAGGGUUGUGUUGCAUGUCCAGAAAAACAUCAGUCGGUCGUUUAGAGAGAACACUGUGUCUCUGUCAACGUGCAGAGAGAUAACGGCUCAACUUUCCCUCAGAAACACACUGAACUCAGAGGUCACAAGACUCUCACAGCAUACACUAUCAUUCUCUCUCUUUAUCCCCGAGGGGGACGAUUCUGGUUUAUACUCUGUUAUUGAGAGACAUGGACUUUUGGACAUGCAACAAUAGAGAGAGGUGUCAGAGUGGGGCUGCUACACAGGGAGCGCACCAGAGCUGUUAGGGGUUCAGUGCAUUGCUCAAGGCGCACCUCGGCAGUACUCCUCAAGUGACCUGGCACCUCUCCAGCUACCAGACCGACUUCCAAUACUUUGGUCUGCAAAGUGACUUGAGGUGGUGACCCUCCUGUUCCCAGCCCAAGUCCCUACAGACUGAUUCAUUGGAUUAACAGUUUCAAAUGAAUCAAAAAGUGAAAAAAAAAAAAAAUCACCACAUAUGUUUUACACUAAUUGUCCUCUAUCCUAUACAUCUAUAUCUGACUGAUUAUAACAAAGAUAUUUGCGAGUUUUUACAGCAAAGUCCAGUUAAAAAAUGUUCAUAUGACUCAUCCAGCAUUCACGGUAUUUAAUUAUUUGCAUUCAAUCAUGGGCUUUCAUGCCUGGGUAGAAUUCCUCUGAGAAAAAUCUUGCUUUCCUUUAAAUAUCUGCCUUUUUCUCACCGUGUAACAUUUUCUGUGAAAAAUAUAAACUAUCUAUCCACCUUCUGUAAAUCGCUUUGUAAGAAUCUUAUGUGACUCCAGAGAUAACAGGCAUUUAAAAAAAAAAAAAGAAUAACAAUGUCGCCAGUCUCCCCGCGGAUGGUCAUGUACGCUUGUUAGGUCAUACAGAGGCUUCAGUUUUAAUGACAGUCUGGAGAAAAACCACCUUUAAUUUUAUUCUCACACUCAUGCUCGCUGCUCAGACUCAUGGGCUUAGUUCAUAUCUCCCAGCAUGCAAUGGGUGAGAAGAAGGAACAGAAAGCGUUCAAAAGGCUUUAAGGUGAAAUAAAGGGCAAUCAUUGGAUUGAUUUGUCUCACUGAAAACUCUUCUAUUACCAUACUUUCACUUCACUUUUAUGUGUCCCUUACUUCAUCCUGACUUUAUUUCUUAAUGUAACUGUUUCAGUUUAACAACACUUUCCUCCACCCGCACCUGUAGCCCCCGGCUGACUGCUACAAGUUGAGCGACUCGUGUUCUCUUCAUGUCUGAAGCGAUUAAUCAAAGCUGAUAAAAAUGUGACACAU